AUCAUAUCUCUCGUACUUCAGAGAGUGAUUCAGGGUCCCAAGUGCCAGAUAUCAAUGAAGAAAUUUUUGGUAACAGUGGAGUUUAAAUCUCUCUCCCCAAGAAAUGCAAAUCUCCUCAAAAUCUAAAACGUAUCUUUGUUGCAACCCUGUCAGAUACGGUUACAUUGUUAUGAAUAUUUUCCACUAUCUCUUGUCGCAAUACCCGAUAAAAAUUCAAAACAUCAAAUAAGUGAUAUCUCCUGUAGCCAUGAGACCAAGUUCCACUUCCAGCAGACAUCAAACAAUUAUGAAGCUUAAUGGAGCAAGCUUUUGCUAGUGGAAUUAUGCAUACAUGCCACUUUUAUUUUGAUUUUGAUUUUGAUUUUUAUUUGAUGCAUAAUUUCACCCGUGUAAACUCCUAUAUAAAGGAAUCUUUGCUUCAGUUGUAAACCAAGUUUUCAUUCUCUCAUUCUCCUACUCUUUCAUUCAUAUCCUCUGUUUCAUUCUCUCAUGUCCUCCUAAUCGAGAACAUUGCUACAAUCUCUUUUUAAGUAAGUUCUUAAUAAAUAAAGUUUCAAUCAUAUUUUCUUGUUUCUUUUUCUCGUUUUAGUAUUAUGCUUUGUGUUUAAGUGGCUGGUCUAACCGCCCAUAUUUCUGUUUUAUUAUUUUAAGUUAUGUUUCAAUCUGUUUAAUAUAUGUCUUAAUUUACUUGUUAUUAUAUAUGUUUAAUUAUGCUUUCUCUUUUUCAGUUAUAUAUAUGUAUAUAUAUAUAUGCAUAAUUCUCACUUUGCGGUAAAAUAUAUUAUUAAAAUUUUAAAAAUAAUCUUGUAGACCACGUGAUUCGGCCAAAAAACAUUUGCAAAAAUAAUACGUUCAAUACAAACCAUAAUAAAAUUAGCUUAAAAACAAUACUAAUUUAGAAAAGUUAUAAGCAAAUACAAUAUAUAAAUUAUCCAAUAGAAAAAAUAAGUUAUCUAUAUUACUGAAUAAGAAAACAAAAAUCAAAAGGUCAAAAAUAAAUAAACAUAUAUAAACAUCUACUAACCGAACAUUUUUAUAAAUGUUAACAUUACAAAUUAAAAUAACACAUGCGCGGAUGCGCGGAUCAAAGUCUAGUCUAGUUUUAAAUAAUACUAGAUUUUGACCUGCGCAAUCGCGCAGAUGUUUGUUUUCACUUUUCUAUACAUAAAUUAUUGUUUUUAAACAUUAGUGGUAUAUAUUUUUAACGUUAAUCAUAUACUUAAAUUUUUAUAUAACUAUUUCAAAUUAAAUAAUUUUAUAAUUUACAUGUUAUAAUUAGUCAAUUUUUAAAACCGUAUGUAUUUUUACUUAUUAUUAUAUAUUUAUCUUAUUGUAUUUGUAUUUAGUUAUUAAGCAAAUUAAUAUAUUUAUGAGAAAACAUAUUUGAAAAUUAUUUUGUAUUUAAUUUAUGCUAAAUUCUGACCCGUGUUUCAAAGAUGUAUUUAUUUUUACUAAUAUUUUUAUGCUUAUUCAUUUUAGAUAAUAUAUUAUUGUAUUUACAAAAGUCUAAGAUAUGUUAAUUUUUAGACAUGUAUUAUAUAGUUUGCUAAAUUUAAGCCGUUCUAUCAUCAUAUUAUAUUUUUAAAAUAAAUAAUUUAUAUUUAUGAAUAUAAAAUUUAUAAAUUUAUCAAUUGAAUAUAAUUUUAUCAUAUUUAAGUAUAAUAAUUGUAUUUUAACAUGAUCAUGACUAUAAAGUAGAUAAAAUAGGAUAUAAUUUAUUUAUUUUUCAUUUUACAAACGAUAACUUAAAAUACAUUAAAUUAUUGUUAAAAUAUGUUUACACAGGAUUUAUUAGAAUUUUGAAAAUAUAAUAUAUAAAUAUAUAUUUCCAAAUUAAAAAAAAAAACCACACAUGAAAGAAGUCAUGACUUAUAUUUUAAUAUAUAAGAUGUAACUGCAACUUAUACAUCAAAAAUAUUAAUAAAUAAUAAUUUUGAAAAAUAUAGUAACUCGGUUUUUUACAUCAAGCUCACUCCUAACAUAAAUCUACCGUUUCUAUCAAAUAAUUUUAAUUCUGAAUUACAUUGAGUUAUGACUUUUAUUAUAAUUUAACUUUAAUUCAACAUAUAUGUAUUAAAAAAACACAUCCCUGUUCAGAGCCAUAAUCAUCUCUAGCUUUUGCUGUGCUCACAUAUUAUAUUAUGAAAACUUUCGAUAUUGGUCAACUAUUUAAUAAGAAAAUCAUUUUAUAACAUUGGAUUUAUAUUAUCGUAUAAUUUCUAACUUUAUUACAUAUGAUGAUAUUGAUGAACAGGUCCACGAAUAAUGAUUUAACAUGACGCUCUCCUCCGAAACACUUGGAUCGACGGACGGUUCUAUAUGUAUGACAUCUUCGAUGGACCAGCGCUCUCUACAGCAGAUGACCAUAACAAACGGCUCUACCUACCUGCAGUAUUCUCGAACCCCGACCACAACAUAGUAAAAUAUACAUUGUCAAUUAAUUUUUGGAACUGUUAUAAAAAAUAAUGUAAAAAUAAAUAUGGAAAAAUGAAAAAUAAUAAUCUAAAACAAAACAAUGGAU
rnacentral:lncRNA from 1 species